rnacentral:rRNA from 1 species
CUGCGGCAGCGAACGUAUCACUUAAAGCGAUUCAGCGGAUGACGAUUGACGGAGCGAAGCGACGUCAAAGCGUAUACAAAGUCGAGUCGGUUUAAGGAUACGUUCGUUGGGUAGGGGAGCGUUCUGUAAGCCUGCGAAGGUGGCCUGUGAGGGUUGCUGGAGGUAUCAGAAGUGCGAAUGCUGACAUAAGUAACGAUAAAGCGGGUGAAAAGCCCGCUCGCCGGAAGACCAAGGGUUCCUGUCCAACGUUAAUCGGGGCAGGGUGAGUCGACCCCUAAGGCGAGGCCGAAAGGCGUAGUCGAUGGGAAACGGGUUAAUAUUCCCGUACUUGGUGUUACUGCGAAGGGGGGACGGAGAAGGCUAUGUUGGCCGGGCGACGGUUGUCCCGGUUUAAGCGUGUAGGUGUGUGUUCCAGGUAAAUCCGGUUCACUUUAACACUGAGGCGUGAUGACGAGGCACUACGGUGCUGAAGCAACAAAUGCCCUGCUUCCAGGAAAAGCCUCUAAGCAUCAGGUAACAUCAAAUCGUACCCCAAACCGACACAGGUGGUCAGGUAGAGAAUACCAAGGCGCUUGAGAGAACUCGGGUGAAGGAACUAGGCAAAAUGGUGCCGUAACUUCGGGAGAAGGCACGCUGACAUGUAGGUGAAGUGAUUUACUCAUGGAGCUGAAGUCAGUCGAAGAUACCAGCUGGCUGCAACUGUUUAUUAAAAACACAGCACUGUGCAAACACGAAAGUGGACGUAUACGGUGUGACGCCUGCCCGGUGCCGGAAGGUUAAUUGAUGGGGUCAGCGCAAGCGAAGCUCCUGAUCGAAGCCCCGGUAAACGGCGGCCGUAACUAUAACGGUCCUAAGGUAGCGAAAUUCCUUGUCGGGUAAGUUCCGACCUGCACGAAUGGCGUAAUGAUGGCCAGGCUGUCUCCACCCGAGACUCAGUGAAAUUGAACUCGCUGUGAAGAUGCAGUGUACCCGCGGCAAGACGGAAAGACCCCGUGAACCUUUACUAUAGCUUGACACUGAACAUUGAGCCUUGAUGUGUAGGAUAGGUGGGAGGCUUUGAAGUGUGGACGCCAGUCUGCAUGGAGCCGACCUUGAAAUACCACCCUUUAAUGUUUGAUGUUCUAACGUGGACCCGUAAUCCGGGUUGCGGACAGUGUCUGGUGGGUAGUUUGACUGGGGCGGUCUCCUCCUAAAGAGUAACGGAGGAGCACGAAGGUUGGCUAAUCCUGGUCGGACAUCAGGAGGUUAGUGCAAUGGCAUAAGCCAGCUUGACUGCGAGCGUGACGGCGCGAGCAGGUGCGAAAGCAGGUCAUAGUGAUCCGGUGGUUCUGAAUGGAAGGGCCAUCGCUCAACGGAUAAAAGGUACUCCGGGGAUAACAGGCUGAUACCGCCCAAGAGUUCAUAUCGACGGCGGUGUUUGGCACCUCGAUGUCGGCUCAUCACAUCCUGGGGCUGAAGUAGGUCCCAAGGGUAUGGCUGUUCGCCAUUUAAAGUGGUACGCGAGCUGGGUUUAGAACGUCGUGAGACAGUUCGGUCCCUAUCUGCCGUGGGCGCUGGAGAACUGAGGGGGGCUGCUCCUAGUACGAGAGGACCGGAGUGGACGCAUCACUGGUGUUCGGGUUGUCAUGCCAAUGGCACUGCCCGGUAGCUAAAUGCGGAAGAGAUAAGUGCUGAAAGCAUCUAAGCACGAAACUUGCCCCGA